rnacentral:rRNA from 1 species
UACGUAGGGUGCGAGCGUUAAUCGGAAUUACUGGGCGUAAAGCGUGCGCAGGCGGUUCGUGAUGUCUGGUGUGGAAGCCCCGGGCUUAACCUGGGAAUUGCAUUGGAAACUAGCGGGCUGGAGUGUGGCAGAGGGGGGUGGAAUUCCACGUGUAGCAGUGAAAUGCGUAGAGAUGUGGAGGAACACCGAUGGCGAAGGCAGCCCCCUGGGCUGAGAUUGACGCUCAGGCACGAAAGCGUGGGGAGCAAACAGG